rnacentral:rRNA from 1 species
CCUACGGGAGGCAGCAGUGGGGAAUAUUGCACAAUGGGGGAAACCCUGAUGCAGCGACGCCGCGUGAGUGAAGAAGUAUUUCGGUAUGUAAAGCUCUAUCAGCAGGGAAGAUAAUGACGGUACCUGACUAAGAAGCCCCGGCUAACUACGUGCCAGCAGCCGCGGUAAUACGUAGGGGGCAAGCGUUAUCCGGAUUUACUGGGUGUAAAGGGUGCGUAGGUGGCAUGGCAAGUCAGAAGUGAAAGCCCGGGGCUCAACCCCGCGGACUGCUUUUGAAACUGUCAGGCUGGAGUACAGGAGAGGUAAGCGGAAUUCCUAGUGUAGCGGUGAAAUGCGUAGAUAUUAGGAGGAACACCAGUGGCGAAGGCGGCUUACUGGACUGUAACUGACACUGAGGCACGAAAGCGUGGGGAGCAAACAGGAUUAGAUACCCGUGU